rnacentral:rRNA from 1 species
UACGUAGGGGGCAAGCGUUGUCCGGAUUUAUUGGGCGUAAAGAGCGUGUAGGCGGCCAAGCAGGUCCGCUGUGAAAACUCGAGGCUCAACCUCGAGACGUCGGUGGAAACCGUUUGGCUAGAGUCUGGAAGAGGAGAGUGGAAUUCCCGGUGUAGCGGUGAAAUGCGCAGAUAUCGGGAAGAACACCCGUGGCGAAGGCGGCUCUCUGGGACGGUACUGACGCUGAGACGCGAAAGCGUGGGGAGCGAACAGG